rnacentral:rRNA from 1 species
UAGUGGAAAGUAAAAGUCGUAACAAGGUUUCCGUAGGUGAACCUGCGGAAGGAUCAUUAUUGAAUAAAGCUUGGUUGGGUUGUUGCUGGUUCUUCGGGGCAUGUGCACGCCUGACACCAAUCUUUUCACCACCUGUGCACCUUUUGUGGACUUGGAUGAUAUUUCUCAAGGAAGGCUAGCCUCAUAACCUAGUUUUCCUUGCAUUUUCCAGUCUAUGUGUUUUUACCUAUUAUACUCUUAGUCUGUUUUAGAAUGUUAUUUAAGGGGCUUAAAUGCCUUCAAACCUUGUACAACUUUCAACAACGGAUCUCUUGGCUCUCGCAUCGAUGAAGAACGCAGCGAAAUGCGAUAAGUAAUGUGAAUUGCAGAAUUCAGUGAAUCAUCGAAUCUUUGAACGCACCUUGCGCUCCUUGGUAUUCCGAGGAGCAUGCCUGUUUGAGUGUCAUGAAAUUCUCAACCUUUUCAGCUUUUGCUGACUGGGCUUGGAUUUUGGGAGUUUGUGCAGGCUUCUCAGAAGUCUGCUCUUCCUAAAUGCAUUAGCGGGACCCCUCCUGUUGUCCAGCAUUUGGUGUGAUAAUUAUCUACGCCAUUGUGAACAAUGCAAUAUGGAGUUCAGCUUCUAACCGUCCUGUAAGGGACAACCUCUGACCUUUUGACCUCAAAUCAGGUAGGACUACC